rnacentral:rRNA from 1 species
UAAGGAAUAUUGGUCAAUGGACGCAAGUCUGAACCAGCCAUGCCGCGUGGAGGAUUAAGGCCCUCUGGGUUGUAAACUCCUUUUAUCUGGGAAGAAAUCCCAACAUUCUUGUUGGAUUGACGGUACCAGAGGAAUAAGCACCGGCUAACUCCGUGCCAGCAGCCGCGGUAAUACGGAGGGUGCAAGCGUUAUCCGGAUUCACUGGGUUUAAAGGGUGCGUAGGCGGGCAGGUAAGUCCGUGGUGAAAUCUCUGAGCUUAACUCAGAAACUGCCAUGGAUACUAUUUGUCUUGAAUAUUGUGGAGGUGAGCGGAAUAUGUCAUGUAGCGGUGAAAUGCUUAGAUAUGACAUAGAACACCAAUUGCGAAGGCAGCUCACUACACAAUCAUUGACGCUGAGGCACGAAAGCGUGGGGAUCAAACAGG